UACCAGCACCCCGAGUGGUCGGGACGAUUAUCGGGCCUAAAGCAUCCGUAGCCGGUCCUGCAAGUCUUCCGUUAAAUCCAGCUGCUCAACAGAUGGGCUGCGGGAGAUACUACAGGGCUAGGAGGCGGGAGAGGCAAGCGGUACUUUAUGGGUAGGGGUAAAAUCCGCUGAUCCAUAGAAGACCACCAGUGGCGAAGGCGGCUUGCCAGAACGCGCUCGACGGUGAGGGAUGAAAGCUGGGGGAGCAAACCGG
rnacentral:rRNA from 1 species